CAGUAGCCGCGGUAACACGAAGGGGGCUAGCGUUGCUCGGAAUCACUGGGCGUAAAGGGUGCGUAGGCGGGUCUUUAAGUCAGGGGUGAAAUCCUGGAGCUCAACUCCAGAACUGCCUUUGAUACUGAAGAUCUUGAGUUCGGGAGAGGUGAGUGGAACUGCGAGUGUAGAGGUGAAAUUCGUAGAUAUUCGCAAGAACACCAGUGGCGAAGGCGGCUCACUGGCCCGACACUGACGCUGAGGCACGAAAGCGUGGGGAGCAAACAGGAUUAGAUACCCGAGUAGUCCCUGUCUCUUAUAC
rnacentral:rRNA from 1 species